rnacentral:rRNA from 1 species
GACGAACGCUGGCGGCGUGCUUAACACAUGCAAGUCGAACGGAAAGGCCCUGCUUUUGUGGGGUGCUCGAGUGGCGAACGGGUGAGUAACACGUGAGUAACCUGCCCUUGACUUUGGGAUAACUUCAGGAAACUGGGGCUAAUACCGGAUAGGAGCUCCUGCUGCAUGGUGGGGGUUGGAAAGUUUCGGCGGUUGGGGAUGGACUCGCGGCUUAUCAGCUUGUUGGUUGGGUAGUGGCUUACCAAGGCUUUGACGGGUAGCCGGCCUGAGAGGGUGACCGGCCACAUUGGGACUGAGAUACGGCCCAGACUCCUACGGGAGGCAGCAGUGGGGAAUAUUGCACAAUGGGCGGAAGCCUGAUGAAGCAACGCCGCGUGCGGGAUGACGGCCUUCGGGUUGUAAACCGCUUUCGCCUGUGACGAAGCGUGAGUGACGGUAAUGGGUAAAGAAGCACCGGCUAACUACGUG